UACCCUAAGACCUAAAAAUCAGACCCUAGACUAACGCUGCCCUAGAGCUAAAGAACUGGGAUUCGCCGUUCUUCUUCAUUUUGCAGACUUAGCAAAUAACCAAAAAAGAUCUACAACCAAGAAAAUUCCCUAAGCUAGAAGUCAGCAGCCCCACAAAUUCCCUAAAAGAAGAACGAUAACACCUAAAACAAAAGAGAAGGAGCUCUCAUUUCUCUUUUAAAAAAAACCCAUUUGGUUAAUCUAAAGAAAAUAGCUUCUGCUAGCCUGAUUUGAGUUCGAAUCCAAAAAUACAAAAAGAAUUGGAUGGAGUUGCUGUUGAAUUAAAGUCGUCGAUUAAGGUCUCCGUUCGAGGUUUCGAUUUUGCUCGUGAUUCCUGCUCGACUUUGCCGAUGUUGUUUCGCUUGAAUUUUGAAGUCAAUAUAUGAAUCAAUUGGCUUAUUUUUCUAAUUUCAGAUCCCGGUACUGGAGCAUACAGACCGUAGCUUUGGGUUGCUGCCUUCAGUCAAUUCGGAGAUUUCGAGGUAGUCCUGCAGGCGUUCGCAGGCCUUGACGUUUUCUCCUAUCCCUUUUAUUAUGUUUCUAUUAUGUAUUUCAGAGACAGUGUUGUAAUAAAUUUUUUGGACCUUUAUCUGUAGUAUUCCUAGACAGUCUGUGGAAUAUGACACUAGUCUUGGGUAGUUUAUGUUUGGAUUGACGUUGGCAUCUUUAUUAAAAUAGUAUAUUCUAGUCUUCCGCUUAUUAAA